UACGUAGGGAGCAAGCGUUGUCCGGAAUCAUUGGGCGUAAAGCGCGCGUAGGCGGCCCCGUAAGUCCGCUGUGAAAGUCAAAGGCUCAACCUUUGAAAGCCGGUGGAUACUGUGGGGCUAGAGUCCGGAAGAGGCGAGUGGAAUUCCUGGUGUAGCGGUGGAAUGCGCAGAUAUCAGGAGGAACACCAAUAGCGAAGGCAGCUCGCUGGGACGGUACUGACGCUAAGGCGA
rnacentral:rRNA from 1 species